rnacentral:rRNA from 1 species
GUGGGGAAUCUUGCGCAAUGGGCGAAAGCCUGACGCAGCCAUGCCGCGUGGAUGAUGAAGGUCUUAGGAUUGUAAAAUCCUUUCACCGGUGAAGAUAAUGACUGUAGCCGGAGAAGAAGCCCCGGCUAACUUCGUGCCAGCAGCCGCGGUAAUACGAAGGGGGCUAGCGUUGCUCGGAUUUACUGGGCGUAAAGGGCGCGUAGGCGGACAUUUAAGUCAGGGGUGAAAUCCCGGGGCUCAACCUCGGAACUGCCUUUGAUACUGGGUGUCUUGAGUAUGAGAGAGGUGUGUGGAACUCCGAGUGUAGAGGUGAAAUUCGUAGAUAUUCGGAAGAACACCAGUGGCGAAGGCGACACACUGGCUCAUUACUGACGCUGAUGCGCGAAAGCGUGGGGAGCAAACAGGAUUAGAUACCCCGGUAGUCC